rnacentral:ncRNA from 1 species
GUAACGGUCACCGCAAGGUUUUGGCGAAAAUCGCCAGACAGUCUUCCACGGUUCGCUCGUCGAGCCGUAACCGGCAACGCCGGAUUCGUUAACCGGCCGGUACAGAUUCCGGU